rnacentral:tRNA from 1 species
GAAACUUAGGUUAAUCCUAAACCAGAGGCCUUCAAAGCCCCAAAUAUGAGCCCGUAUCUCAUAAUUUCUGAUAGACCU